AUUGAACGCUGGCGGCAUGCCUAACACAUGCAAGUCGAACGGGGCAGCAAUGCCUAGUGGCGGACGGGUGAGGAAUACGUAGGAAUCUGCCCUUAAGUGGGGGAUAACCAGGGGAAACCCUGACUAAUACCGCAUGAUCUCUUCGGAGCAAAGAGGGGGACCGCAAGGCCUCUCGCUUCUGGAUGAGCCUACGUCUGAUUAGCUAGUUGGUAGGGUAAGGGCCUACCAAGGCGACGAUCAGUAACUGGUCUGAGAGGAUGAUCAGUCACACCGGAACUGAGACACGGUCCGGACUCCUACGGGAGGCAGCAGUGGGGAAUAUUGGACAAUGGGCGCAAGCCUGAUCCAGCAAUGCCGCGUGUGUGAAGAAGGCCUUCGGGUUGUAAAGCACUUUAGCCUGGAAAGAAAAAACUUUGGUUAACACCCAGAGUCUUGACGGUACCAGGAGAAUAAGCACCGGCUAACUCUGUGCCAGCCGCCGCGGUAAGAC
rnacentral:rRNA from 1 species